GUGGCACUGACUUCCUUGGGUUCGAUCCUCUUAACCUCCAGAGGGUUAGCUACACCGGUCGGACAGUGAGCGAUUGCAAUGGCAACCUGAUUCCGUGUGUGUAGCUAGGUAGUGGACGCUCUUGCCACGCUUACCUAGUUUACAAAUUAAUUGAGGUAAAGUCGUGUAGUGGGUCCUCGGGACGGGCCAUCAGCCCAAAAUUUAUUUAUUUAUCGGUCUUCAAAUCUAGUCGGGGUAGAGUUCCUAUUGAGCAGCGAGGACGAAAGCUCACCCCUACAACAAUGUAGAUGCAUGUACUGAGUACUGGUAACGGGACAAUAGCGGACGGAGCUGGGUGUGCGGAAUAAGUUCGGUCCCAGGUUGCGACCUCGGGUUUGUUCCUCAAGCUCCAUCGUGCUCCUUUAGCUUAGCUUCGUGUUCAAUUUCACUCUCUGUGUUCGAUCUUUGGAUUUGCUACAGAGAUAAGUGCAUCCCUCUCUCAAGACUCUAACUUCAUGUUCUUGAAAAUUACUGAGAAAUUUACAGAAAUUGAUUAGCUUUGA